rnacentral:rRNA from 1 species
GAUGAACGCUGGCGGCGUGCCUAACACAUGCAAGUCGAACGAAGCACUUUAGCUUGAUUCUUCGGAUGAAGGCUGAUGUGACUGAGUGGCGGACGGGUGAGUAACGCGUGGGUAACCUGCCUCAUACAGGGGGAUAACAGUUAGAAAUGACUGCUAAUACCGCACAAGACCACAGGGUCGCAUGACCCGGUGGGAAAAACUCCGGUGGUAUGAGAUGGACCCGCGUCUGAUUAGGUAGUUGGUGGGGUAACGGCCUACCAAGCCGACGAUCAGUAGCCGACCUGAGAGGGUGACCGGCCACAUUGGGACUGAGACACGGCCCAAACUCCUACGGGAGGCAGCAGUGGGGAAUAUUGCACAAUGGGGGAAACCCUGAUGCAGCGACGCCGCGUGAGCGAAGAAGUAUUUCGGUAUGUAAGGCUCUAUCAGCAGGGAAGAAAAUGACGGUACCUGACUAAGAAGCACCGGCUAAAUACGUGCCAGCAGCCGCAGUAA